AUCCCUCAGGGUGAGGUACUCAAGGAUGAUACAAUAUCAUCUGUUCUUAUCAGUUUAAUAUCUGAUAUGUCCCCUAUCUGGGGACCAUAUAUUAAAUGGAUUUUUGGAACAGGGAGAUGGAAGAAGAGCUUGCUCUGUCCACUCCACGCAUCAACCUGGUAUUGCAGUACCUCCAGGACCGGUGCACCUCUC
ensembl:snRNA U2 U2 spliceosomal RNA